rnacentral:rRNA from 1 species
AUUGAACGCUGGCGGCAUGCCUUACACAUGCAAGUCGAACGGCAGCACGGGAGCAAUCCUGGUGGCGAGUGGCGAACGGGUGAGUAAAGUAUCGGAACGUGCCCGAUCGUGGGGGAUAACGCAGCGAAAGCUGCGCUAAUACCGCAUACGAUCCGAGGAUGAAAGCGGGGGACCGUAAGGCCUCGCGCGAUCGGAGCGGCCGAUGUCAGAGUAGGUAGUUGGUGGGGUAAAGGCUCACCAAGCCGACGAUCUGUAGCUGGUCUGAGAGGACGACCAGCCACACUGGGACUGAGACACGGCCCAGACUCCGACGGGAGGCAGCAGUGGGGAAUUUUGGACAAUGGGCGAAAGCCUGAUCCAGCCAUGCCGCGUGCAGGAUGAAGGCCGUCGGGUUGUAAACUGCUUUUGUACGGAGCGAAAAGGUUUGGCCUAAUAAGCUGAGCUCAUGACGGUACCGUAAGAAUAAGCACCGGCUAACUACGUGCCAGCCGCCGCAGUAA